CGCUAUCACUCCUACGGGAGGCAGCAGUGGGGAAUAUUGCACAAUGGGGGAAACCCUGAUGCAGCCAUGCCGCGUGUGUGAAGAAGGCCUUCGGGUUGUAAAGCACUUUCAGUAGGGAGGAAGGUAGUGUAGUUAACACCUUCACUAUUUGACGUUACCUACAGAAGAAGCACCGGCUAACUCCGUGCCAGCAGCCGCGGUAAUACGGAGGGUGCGAGCGUUAAUCGGAAUUACUGGGCGUAAAGCGCAUGCAGGCGGCCUGUUAAGUCAGAUGUGAAAGCCCGGGGCUUAACCUCGGAAUUGCAUUUGAAACUGGCAGGCUAGAGUCUUGUAGAGGGGGUAGAAUUUCAGGUGUAGCGGUGAAAAUGCGUAGAGAUCUGAAGGAAUACCAGUGGCGAAGGCGGCCCCCUGGACAAAGACUGACGCUCAGAUGCGAAAGCGUGGGGAGCAAACAGGAUUAGAUACCCUGGUAG
rnacentral:rRNA from 1 species